rnacentral:rRNA from 1 species
UGGGGAAUCUUGGACAAUGGGCGCAAGCCUGAUCCAGCCAUGCCGCGUGAGUGAUGAAGGCCCUAGGGUUGUAAAACUCUUUCGUGGGGGACGAUAAUGACGGUACCCCAAGAAGAAGCUCCGGCUAACUUCGUGCCAGCAGCCGCGGUAAUACGAAGGGGGCUAGCGUUGUUCGGAUUUACUGGGCGUAAAGCGCGUGUAGGCGGGCUGGAAAGUUGGGGGUGAAAUCCCGAGGCUCAACCUCGGAACUGCCUCCAAAACUUCCAGCCUGGACUCAAGUAGAGGCAAGUGGAAUUGCGAGUGUAGAGGUGAAAUUCGUAGAUAUUCGCAGGAACACCAGUGGCGAAGGCGACUUGCUGGACUUGUAGUGACGCUGAGACGCGAAAGCGUGGGGAGCAAACAGGAUUAGAUACCCCUGUAGUCCCUGAGCGGGCUGGCAAGGCGCAU